rnacentral:lncRNA from 1 species
GACAGGAAUGUGCUGACCGUGGUGGCUGAGAGGCUACAGGAGGCACUCUUUGAAGGGAAGUUAAAGACAAAGAGGAAGAGGCUGUAUUUCAUUCUCCCAGAUGGCUCCUGCCAGCCUCCAGAGAAAAGGCAGCUUUCUUCUUUAGAAAAUUGGCAGGACAAAAGAAGGAAGUCGACUUGGAAAGUCCAGCGACAGACCUCGUGCCCCUGCUCUGGGAGGCCGCAGGUCAAUGGCUCCCCCUGGCUUCAGGGGACACAGCUCAAGCCUGGAAGGAGCCCAUGGCCAGCCUGAAAGCCUUGCUCACACCCAGCAUCCGCAGCUGGGGCAAGAGCGGCUACUCCCAAGACAGGAAAAGACACACAGCCUAACUUUGCCACUGUGAAGGGAGACUUCUCUCUAAUGCCUAACUAGACACUUAUCUUCCAACCUCCUCAAAAUGCCUUCAAUAGAAGUCCCAGGAAGACACGGAGCCCCAGCCGCCCACUGACUCCUACAGGAUGCAGCUGCGCCAGGCAGCCCAUCCCAGGGGGCCCAGGCCAAAGAGGGGCCAGGGUGCUUCCCCUGAGAAUGAAAAGGGAUGUCGGGUAGAGGGGGAGGGUGAUGUGGGACUCGCUGGUGGCUGUUAAAGGAGCUCGCGUCUCGGUUCCUGCAGGAAAAGUGCUUUGAGCACUCGCCUGGCCUGGUGAAGAAGGAAGGCAGUUGGCGGGCAUUUUUGGAAGCUCUCACCCCCCAUGCUGGUCCUGGUACCCCUUCUCCAGGGAUGCGGGGCCCACAUUCAUCACAGUGGGGUUCCAUAGAUGAUGGUCCUGUCAUAUCAGGGUUCCCAUUGAAGGGGGCCCUUUUUGGCACUUUCUUUUAUUCCAUUAGUCUGUUUGCCUGGUCACACAUUUUAUUGCUUUUUCCCGCAAAAGAAUCAAUGUGGGAAUUUAUUUAUUUAUUUAUUGAGACGGAGUCUCACUCUGUCACCCAGGCUGGAGUGCAGUGGUGCAAUCUCAGCUCACUGCAACCUCCGCCUCCCUGGUUCAAGCAAUUCUCCUGCCUCAGCUUCCCAAGUAGCUGGAAUUACAGGCAUCUGCCACCAUGCCCGGCUAAUUUUUUGUAUUUUUUGUAUUUUUUUUUUUUUCUGAGAUGGAGUCUCUCUGUGUUGCCUAAGCUGGAGUACAGUGGCGUGAUCUCAGCUCAUUGCAACUUCUGCCUCCCAGGUUCAAGCAAUUCUUCCUGCCUCAGCCUCCCAAGUAGGUGGAAUUACAGGUGCCCACUACCAUGCCUGGCUAAUUUUUGUAUUUUUUAGUAGAGACGGGAUUUCACCACAUUGGCCAGAUUGGUCUUGAACUCCUGACCUCAUGAUCCACCUACCUUGGCCUCCCAAAGUGCUGGGAUUACAGGUGUGAGCCACUGCACCUGGCUGAUUUUUUAUAUUUUUAGUAGAGACGGGUUUCACCAUGUUAGCCAGGAUGGUCGCAAUCUCCUGACCUCGUGAUCCACCCACCUUGGCCUCCCAAAGUGCUGGGAUUACAGGUGUGAGCCACUGCGCCCAGCCAGGAAUUUAUUUUUAAAUUAAAUUUGAUUUAUUUAGUUUCCUAACCCUUUUAUUGUUUUUAGGCAAUUUUUUGAAGUAUAAUAUGAAUAAGAAAAUUAUGGUGAAUUGUUACAGCAUCGAGACCUCCAAGACCAGGACAUAGAACAAUCCCAGCCCCCAGAAACCUCCACCCCAUAAGGCUCCACAACCCCUCUUCUAACACACAGAUUACCUUCAGCUCUUCUUGAACUUCAUAUAAGUGUGAAACUCACCCAUGCUGUUGAACACAGCACUGUUUCAUUCAUGUAAGCGGCCUUAUAGUAUUCCAUUAUGUGAACGCAGUUUAUUAUCCGUUCUGUUAAUCACAGUAGUUUUUACCUGUUGUGAGUAAGGGUGUCACAAACAGCCUCAUGUGUACUUUGUGGCAGAUGGAAUUCUUGUACAGAUGUGGAACAUACACUGGAUUUGAAGUGCUGGGUUAUAGAGUAUGCACAUGCUCAGCUUUAUCAAACAGGGCUUAACAGCUUUUCAGAGUGGCUGUGCCAACUCACACUCUCCAACAGUCUAUGGGAGUUCCAGUUGCCCCACACCCUUGCCACCACUUGCAAUUGUCAGCUGUAAAUUUUAGCCAUUUUGUCGGGUGUAUAUUGGUAUUUUAUUGUGUUUUUGAUACUCGUUGCUCCCGCAAUCGUUGAAGUUGAGCACGGUUGUAUAUGCUUAUUGGCAAUUUGGAUACUGUCUUUGCGUUUUCAAAAAUUGGGUUUUUGUCUUUUAUUGAUUUGUAGAAUUUCUUUAUUCUGAAUUUGAGUUCUUAGUUGUGCUUGUGUGUGUGCACAUAGUAAACACACACACAGGUUAAAAUAAUUGGGAGAUCAUUAGAAUGAGAUGACCCCAGCGCCUUGGGUUUCAACUCAAGCAAACCAAAGUCCAUCUCAGUGUACAUGGUUAUAGUUCAGGUAAGCAGAAACCACCGGCUGAUCUCUAACACGGGGCUUUUGACUGGAAUGAUUUCUUUCCCUUUCUUUCUCUUUCUUUCUUUCUCUCUUUCUCUCUUUCUUUCUCUCUUUCUCUCUUCCUUUCUUUUUUUCUUUCCUAUCUUUCUGCCUUUCUUUCCUUCCUUCCUUCCAUCCUUCCAUCUCUUUCUUUUUCUUUUCUCUUUCUUUUCUUUCUCUCCCUCUCUCUUUCUUUCCUCCCUCCCUUUCUUCCUUCCUUCCUUCUUUCCUUCCUUCCCUUCCUCCUUCCCUCCUUCCCCUCCCUCCCUAAAAUUCAUAGAAUAAAAAAAUGCCUGAAUAGCCAAAGUAAUCCUAAGCAAAAAGAACAAAGCUGGAGGAAUCACAUUACCUGACUUCAAAUUAUCUUACAAGGCUAUGGUAACCAAAACAGCAUGGUAUUUAGGAUUGUUUUCCCAAUUCUUUGAAAAGCGAUGUUGGUAUCUUCAUAGGAAUUGCAUUGAAUCUGUAGAUUGCUUUGGGUAGUGUGGUCACUUUCACAAUAUUGAUUCUUCCAAUCCAUGAUCAUGGGAUGUAUUUCCGUUGGUUUGUGUCAUAUACAAUUUCUUUCAGCAGUGUUUGCUAGGUCUCCUUGUAGAGAUAUUUCACCUCUUGGUCAAGUUAUUUCUAGUUAUUUUAUUUUACUUUUUGCAGCUAUUGUAAAAGAGCUCGGGUUCUUGAUUUGAUUCUCAGCUUGGUCAUUGUUGGUGUAUAGCGGUGCUACUGAUUUGUGUACAUUGAUUUUGUAACCUGAGACUUCACUGAAUUCAUUUAUCAGCAAUUCAUUCAUUUUUAGAGGAUACUUGGUCCAUGCACAUGUCAGAGAUUGUUGUAAUGUUUCUUUCUUGCAAUGAUCUCAUCACAUUUUAAUCACAAAGUCAGGCUAGUCUUUUAAAUAAAGUUGCAAAGCAUUAAUCAUUUUUUCUCUUCUCUGGAAGAGUUUGUGUAAGAUUGGUGUUUUUUCUCCCACAAACGUUUGGAAGAAUGGUUUGCUGGUGGAGCCAACUGGACCUGAAGUUUUCUCUGUGGGAACAUUUUAAAUAAGAUUGUUCAGGACUCAUAAAUUUUUCUUGCAUCAGUUUUGGCAAGUUGUGUUUUUCAGAGUUUGUUCAAUUUUUCUAAAUUGUCAAAUUUAUUGGCAUAAAUUGUUCAGCAUAUUCUUUUAUUAUUAACUUAGUAUCUGUGGGAUCUUUAGUGAUGUCUCCAUUUUCAUUUUUGAUAUAGUUAAUGUUGGGAGAAAAGCUGAGUGUUGGGAGAAGCUGAGGCAGGGCUUGCAUGUCUGACAUAAUGUAAAAGAGUCUUGGAACAUGUCCGGGGUCCAGGAUCUAAAACUCCUCGUGGCCUUUGGAACACCGAGCUCUGUGCUAAAGAGUGGAAGCCUACCCUGAUGCACCAUAAUCUAAGCCCAGGGCAUAAAACCCCUCAUGGCUUGGAUGGAAUCCAGGUCAGAAACUAUGUUCUGUAUGUUUUCAACACCACCAAUUUUGGGGGGACUCUUUAAUGAUCCAAUGGGCCAUUAGUUUUGGUAAUGUUCCUUGUCUACUUGGAGAAAUUCAUAGGCUGAAGUCAGUCCUCAUGCACGGGGCUCUGUCCAUGCUGACCAAGUCAAAUUUGUUGAUCAUUUUUCCCAAACAUUCUGCUGGUUUUCUGUUUGCAUGAGACACCUUUCCUAUCUGUUGGGAGCAGGCCCCCCAAAAUCUGGUCAUAAACUGGCCCCAAAACUGGCCAUAAACAAAAUCUCUGCAGCACUGUGACAUGUUCAUAAUGGCCAUAACGCCCACACUAGAAGGUUGUGGGUUUACGGGAAUGAGGGCAAGGAACACCUGGCCCGCCCAGGGUGGAAAACCGCUUAAAGGCAUUCUUAAGCCACAAACAAUAGCAUGAGCGAUCUGUGCCUUGAGGAUAUGCUCCUCCUGCAGUUAACCAGCCCAACCUAUUCUUUUAAUUCGUCCCAUCCCUUCGUUUCCCAUAAGGGAUACUUUUAGUUAAUUUAAUAUCUAUAGAAACAAUCCUAAUGACUGAUUUGCUGUUAAUAAAUAUGUGGGUAAAUCUCUGUUUCGGGGCUCUCAGCUCUGAAGGCUGUGCGACCCCUAUUUCCCACUUCACACCUCUGUAUUUCUGUGUGUGCGUCUUUAAUUCCUCUAGCGCCACUGGGUUAGGGUCUCCCCGACCGAGCUGGUCUCGGCACUAUCCUUCUGCCUUUAGGCACCUGCACUACCGAGUACCAUCUAAAGGAACAUAUCAUUUGUUUUGUUUUAUUUUUAUAAUCCAGCAUGACAAUCUUUGUCUUUUAGUUGGAGUAUUUGUGUAAUUUAUAUGACUACAUUAAUUAACGAUACUUCUGUGCUUAGAUUUACCCCAUUACAGUUUUCUUCAUUGUGACCUCAUUAGCUGGUUUUCAUCUUUUCCUGUUAGUUUUUGAUGAGUUAAUACUUUUUCUUAUUUUUCUCCACUAAGCUUUUAGUCAUGUGCAUUUUAAAUCAUUCUCUUAAUGACUCCUCACCUGCAUUGGUGAUGUAUCAGACUUAGCACACUUGCUCCUGGAUGCAAGCACGUUAUAAUUCUUUAACCUCAUUUUCCUAUCCUGGCUUUUGCAUCAUUUUUCUGUAUCCUAAUUGUAUGCAUAUUUAAUUCUACAAUAUAUCAUUAUUUUUAUUGUUUUCAGUGGGUUUGCCCACAAGUUUACCUUUUCUAUUGAUUUUCAAAUUUUCUCCUAUUUUCUUGUGUUUGAAAACAAGAUAUUUUUGGAUAAUUUGCCUUUGGCCUGAAAAAGUUCCUUUACAUUUAUUUUAGUGAAGAUUAGUGGUGAUAAAUUCCCUCAAACUUUUCAUCUGAAUACAUCUUCAGUUCAUGUUUAUUUUCAUAAAAAUAUUUUAACUGGAUAUAAGAUUCUAGGUGAGCUGUUAUUUUUAACCCCAGAAUUUAAAAAUACAUCAUUCAGUUGUCUUUCAGCUUCCAUUAUUUUCUGUUGAGAAGUAAAAC